rnacentral:rRNA from 1 species
UAACACUUGAGUAACCUGCCCCCGAGUCUGGGAUAAGCCCGGGAAACUGGGUCUAAUACCGGAUAUGACCUCGCACCGCAUGGUGCGGGGUGGAAAGAUUUAUCGGUGGGGGAUGGACUCGCGGCCUAUCAGCUUGUUGGUGAGGUAAUGGCUCACCAAGGCGACGACGGGUAGCCGGCCUGAGAGGGUGACCGGCCACACUGGGACUGAGACACGGCCCAGACUCCUACGGGAGGCAGCAGUGGGGAAUAUUGCACAAUGGGCGCAAGCCUGAUGCAGCGACGCCGCGUGAGGGAUGACGGCCUUCGGGUUGUAAACCUCUUUCAGUAGGGAAGAAGCGAAAGUGACGGUACCUGCAGAAGAAGCGCCGGCUAACUACGUGCCAGCAGCCGCGGUAAUACGUAGGGCGCAAGCGUUAUCCGGAUUUAUUGGGCGUAAAGAGCUCGUAGGCGGUUUGUCGCGUCUGCCGUGAAAGUCCGAGGCUCAACCUCGGAUCUGCGGUGGGUACGGGCAGACUAGAGUGAUGUAGGGGAGACUGGAAUUCCUGGUGUAGCGGUGAAAUGCGCAGAUAUCAGAGGAACACCGAUGGCGAAAGCAGGUCUCUGGGCAUUUACUGACGCUGAGGAGCGAAAGCAUGGGGAGCGAACAGGAUUAGAUACCCUGGUAGUCCAUGCCGUAACGUUGGGCACUAGUGUGGGGGACAUUCCACGUUUUCGCGCCGUAGCUAACGCAUUAGUGCCCGCCUGGGGAGUACGC